GUGCUCGCUUUGGCAGCACAUAUACUAAAACUGGAACGAUACAGGAAAGAUUAGCAUGGACCCUGCUCGAGGAUGACACGCAAAUUUGUGAAGCAUUCAAAAAGAAG